rnacentral:lncRNA from 1 species
UCGGUGGUUGGUGUAGUCAAGAUGUCUUCAUCAAUUAUAAGCGAUGGCUAUUGAUGAGGUCACAAACUCGGAUAAUGUUUGUGUUGCACAGCUAAGCUAACCUUUUGACCCACGAAAUGUAAACCUAGGAAUCAAUCACAGUAUUGGUGGACUUCUAGAAGUAUGCUUCUUUUUGCGAGCGAGACAUGGCUGAUCGUGACCGGCAACCGGUGACUCUCUCCCUCUUUCUAGUUGUCACGUCGUUGCCGACGGGUCGAGUUCUUUCUGCCCGCACGUUUCCCACGCCGCCCCCCCCCCGACCACCUUCUCCCGUUCCUACCUCCACCUCGCGUCUUCAACACACCUCUCACGAAAGAUUUAGGUGAGGGAGGAAAAAAGGAUUCAUUGAAUCAUCAACAUAUAACAUCACGUUUUAUAGAAUGUUUUACGAUACUCCAAUCCUUAUAGAUAUGUAUAUUUGUAUGUAGCUUACCUCUGCCUGUUUCCUUCCGUCUCUAUCCUUUGCGGGUGCAUGGAUUGGAUUCCGGAGGAGGAUGAAUCCUCUGAAGGAAUCUCGGAGGGAAGUGGAGACUCCGUCGCCGAUGCGAUCGCGAUGGCGCCUUCAGAAACCAUGGCGUACGACAGCGACGACGCGGAGUCCUGCUGCGGCGGCGACGAUGAAGGCGGUGCUGCCGUAGGUAAAGGCGAGGUGGAAGAAAGGUGCGUGUCGUGGAGAUGCUGGCUGGUGGAGCGCGCGCCCGAGUACGAGGUGGGGAAGGUGGACGACCGACGAGGAGCGAACGAGCCAGCUGCGGCGGCGUCGGACGCGGAGAGCGCUAGGCUGUUCUGGGAGGCCUGCCUUGCCCAUGGCUACCCAUGACUCCUGAGUUCCCGACGUCUCUCUCUCUCUACUCACCAUGACCGUCUUAUUCGUUCUCUUUGUUCUUUCAUCAUUGAGAUUCUUUGUCAAAGCAAAAAGAAGAAGACAACACAUUUCUGCAACUCUGCCUCUCAAUUCUGCAACAAUCUUGUGUUUUACGAGUGAUCAAGAUCGUGAGAUGAAGCACUUAAACUAUCAGAAACAUUAGCCUGUGGGAAAUGGUGAUCCGCUGCUGUUCCUGAGCAUGACCUCCUCCUCCUCCUCCUCCUCCUCUAAUGCCGGUGUUGAAAGCUGACUCGAAGAAGCGAUACGUCUCGGAUUCGAGUCGUGAAACGAUAGGGCUCGGAUUCGAGUUGUGAAACGAUCAUAAACACAUUCAGCACGACUUAAUAAUCCUAAUUAACAUCAAAUUAUGACAAUCAAAUUAUUCUUUGAUGAAAUAUUUUUUUAUUUUUUAUAUUAAAAAAUAGACUCGAUAAUCGAAGCGGGCGAAUUCGGAUCCCAUUUUGGCACAAUCCGACCCGGUCCACUCCAUGAUGCUUUAACCGAACCCGAACCGGAUUCGGCGAAAUCAAAUUAAAAGACCGGAGGUGAUUUCGAAUCCCCAACUGUUCAUCAGUGGCUAAAGUUCCCCCGAUCGACGACCCGACAGUCUCCGCCGUGCCGUGAGGAGAGCUCGGUGGCUGUAAGGAGAGCUCGACGGUCGACGGCGGCGUUUCCUCUCCGCCCUCCAAGUACGUCUCCCUCUCUUGGGUUCGUGUGCGUGUCUGCGCCCGCCCAGUUUUCGCCCUUUUGUUUCUUUAUCGGUUUUUCGCGAUUCGAGGUGGGGUUUCACCCGAUCGAUGCGGAGGGUUUGGCCUUUCUAAAUGGUUGAUGCUGUGGUGAUUUGUCGUUAUCGUCAAUUCGGUGCGUAUGAUGGAUUAGCUUAUUGGUUUUGGGUUCUUGAAAGCUUUUCUAGGGUUUUCGAACUUGAUCUCGAAACUUCGCCCUGAAUAAUAAUGCAGGUGUUGGUCCUGCUUGUUGACGAUUUGUGUUGUAGAUUCGCCAAAUCGUGCUAUUGGAUUGGGGUAAGGAUGAUAUAUACUGCGAUCGACACCUUCUACCUCACCGAUGAGCAGCUGAAGAAUUCGCCGUCGAGAAAAGAUGGGAUCGAUGAGGAGACAGAGACCACGCUGCGGAUCUAUGGAUGCGACCUCAUACAGGAGAGCGGCAUUCUUCUUAAACUGUAUCCUCUUCCCCGUUGUCAUGGGAUAUGCCAUUGUUUAUAGUUAUGAAAGAUUUGUGUAUGUGACAGCAAUCAUCAGUUUUAUGACUUAACAUCUUCCUUCAAGUUUAUUUCUAUUGUGAGUUCCUUAGCUAUUAAGACCGCAAGCGGUAAUGGCCACUGGGCAGGUGCUUUUCCAUCGGUUCUACUGCAAGAAGUCCUUCGCCCGCUUUAGCGUGAAGGUAUAAACCUCAAGCUUCAUUUCGAAAUUUACUUCUCUCUCUCUCUCUCUCUCUCUCUGUUAACCCUUUUAUUGCAUAUUUCUCACUAUAAACUGGAUUCAUAUUAAUUUGUAGAGAGUUGCUGCAAGCUGUGUGUGGUUAGCUUCGAAGUUGGAGGAAUGCCCCAAGAAAGCAAAACAUGUAAUCAUUGUCUUUCACAGGAUGGAAUGUAGGAGGGAAAGCUUGCCGGUUGAGCUUCUGGAUGUCUUAUCCAAGGUGAAUUUACCUUCUCAAAAUGUUUCUUAUUUGCUUUCAGGAUUUGGAUUUUAAGUUCCUAAAAAAGUUUCCUUACAAAUUAUUUAAAUCUUGAUGCUUAUUCGGUGGGAUGGAUUUGAUUUGUUUCAGUUUUAUCAUUUUAUCGCUUUGACAUUAUUCUUAACACCAGUUACAGCAGCGUUGGUACAUCGCUGCGCUGAUUGAUGUGUUUUUUUCUCAUAUACACUAUUCUUUCUGUCUUACUUUCAUGUCAGAAGUACACAGAGCUGAAGAAUGAUUUGGUAAGAACAGAGCGGCAUUUGCUGAAAGAAAUGGGCUUUAUUUGCCAUGUUGAGCAUCCUCAUAAGUUUAUAUCUAACUACCUUGCGACACUUGAGGCUCCUCCGGAGCUGAGACAAGAAGCUUGGAAUCUGGCCAAUGACAGGUACUUUACCGUCUUAGUCGUGGUUUAAAGAGCACUGUUGUUGCUUUAGAUGUUUCAUAGUUGGUGCUACCUGUUGUUUUGUUACUUUAUAUAAAUUGCAAGUUCCAGAGAUUCUUAAUAUUUAGAUGAUCAAUUGAUACUUCUUGAUUUAUUUGUGUUAUUUCUUCUUCAGUUUUAUAUAUUUUCUGAUUCAUAAACUCAUUUGUUGUAGAACCUUCACACGUAUAUUGCUAUGGCAUGAACAACUUAUACACUCAGAGUUGAGGUGUCAGCCACCAGUUAGAAACCCAGUUUUGAUGCAUCUAAACAGCAGAGUCAUUCGAAACUUCAAUGCAUGUUAAUUAGGGUUAAGUCAUGCUGAAUGAGGUUGUCAUAAUUUGAUGAACUUUUCUUGAAUGUAUUUGCUGACUCAUAAACUUUGCCAUUUUAUGCUGCUAUAUUUAAUAUAUUAGGGGAACUGACAACUUGAAAUAGCAGUGUUAAAUUUGUGAAUCCAAGAGAAGAACUUGGCUUGAACAAAAUUUGGAUAUUGAAGUAUAAGAUUUUUUUUGGAAGUUUUAACCUUGCUUACAGUUUUGGCUUCAGUUUCGCCCUGAACUGGCUCAAUUUUAUAUGGAGUUAAUUGAUUAUUGUUGUUCCGAAUGAAAUAUUGCAGCAUAGUGUUCCUGUAAAGUUUCUUUUGGGAUGGACUUGAAUGGCAAGGUUGCCAAGAAUUGCCUUUAAAUUGACUUGAUUCACCAAUAUAGUAAAUGAGGGCUGGACCCACAUGGUGGUUCUAUGUUGAAUUUGCAUGGCUAUUUUUUGUUUUUGCUAGUGGUUUGAGGUUAUGUUUUUACUGUUUUCAGGCAAAAGGAUAUAUUUCGUCAAUUUAUGACCUCUGUAUAUUAGGAUAGUCUUUGUUUAUGAGUUGAUCGGCAUCUGGAUCAUCCUACCAGUACACAAACAUGAAAAGUUGUUGCUUUCUAUGGAUUAGAAUUAGGUUCCUAGUUCUUUGGGGAAUAGAGUCUUAGCUCUGAGGACAUGUACGAGAACUUCAGAAUCACAGUCAGAUUAGUCUUGAGUAAGUUUCAAAAGUAAAUAUCUUGAGAGAGCCUGAGCAUGUGCAUAUGUGAAGUCCAUAAUGGAUAGUGUCCUUAAGUGGUGAAAGGUUUUUUUUAUUCUAGGUUCCCUUUUCAUCUAUAGCUCCAGUUUCUUUAAUAUUUUCAUCUCAAGGAUUCUGACUUUUCUCAUAUAUUGUCACUUUAAGUUCUCUGUGAAUGGUUUUUUUGUAGCAGUUUUUUAAAUGUUUUUGCAGUUAUGCUGGAGUGACUUGAAAGUUUCUUUUAUCCUAUUAUGUUACUUAAUGCUAGGAACUUUUCUAUCUUUUGCAUGUUUCCCUUGCCUCAUUUCCUUGAUUCUGUAGUAGUUACUUGAAGUGGAUUUUUAUUCACUGUUAUAUCAAAUACUUGUGUACUCUGAUCAUUGGGCACUUUGUAUUUUUUCAGUUCAAUACUUUUGUUUCCUGUUUAUGGCUCAUCAACUUUCCAUUUGAUUGGAGUAUGUUUGCUUCUAUAUUUUAUUGUGUAACAAGCAAAGUUCUACUCUUUUUUUGUAGUUAUUUUUAUUAAGUCUGGACAAUUUUGCACUUUUAAAAGCUAUCCUUAUGACAUUUUCUUUGUUAAUUUAUAAGCUUGCGGACAACUCUCUGUGUUCGGUUCAAGAGCGAAGUGGUAGCGUGUGGUGUUGUAUAUGCUGCAGCCCGCAGGUUCCAGGUCCCCCUACCUGAAAAUCCACCCUGGUGGUUAGUUUUUGACGCAGAUAAGGCUGGGAUUGAUGAAGUUUGUAGAGUUCUUGCACAUCUCUACAGCCUUCCGAAGGCACAAUAUGUUCCCGUGUAUAAAGACAAUGAUUCUUUCACUUCAAGAAAUAAGAACUCAGAUCAGCAAGCUCAAGUUCAGAAGGUUGUAAGUACAGCCCCACUCUUGGAACUCAAGUCAUAACUUGGUAGUUUAACAUGAGUUAUAACCUAUGGUCAUGCUGUUUUGAUUAGGAAAGCUCGGCCGACGGUGACACCAACGGGACCAGCACACUCAAGCUUGGAGCUCCAAAUUCCGAUGCUAGUUUGUCCAAAGAAGCAAUUGUGAAAGCAGCUCUAGACAAAUUGAAGGUGUCAAAGAAAACUGAUGAUGACACUAGGACUGUGGCUGCUGAAGGGGACCAUAAAGAAGAGAGCACCGUGAAGCCUAAGAUAGAUCAUAAGGCUGAUGCCAAUACGGAAAGGAACUAUGAUAGAGAAAGGGAGAGGACAAAGACCAGAGAUCGUGACAGCAGGGGCAGAGACUCCGAUUAUGAUGGUAGGGGUAGAGAUUCUGACAGGGAUAGAGACCGAGAGAAGGAUGUUGAGCGUGAAAGAGAAAAGGACCGAAGACAUCGUGCCAAGGACAAGGGUUCAGGUACGAAACAUUAAACUCAAUCUUUAUCCAUGUACAUUCAGGUUUUCUUCUGCACAAGAAAACCUGAAGACACAUUUUUAACUACAUCCUGCAUCCAUUUGAUCCUGAGUUUUUCUUGCAGGACACUCAGAAAAAUCAAGACAUCAUUCGUCACGAGGUAUGUUGGUAACCUUUUCUGCUAUCAUUUUGUAUACUGAAAUUUAGAGCUCUCCACUGAAACCAGGAAACCCUUUUUUUCUCUCUGAAGACCGCAGUGAUUACCACAGCUCACACUCAUCCCGUGACAAAGAUCGACACGAGCGACACAGGCAUCAUCCUUACGGUUAAAUGAGUAUGUCUGCUUUGUGCGACUUGCAGGCAAAACUGUAAAAUGGCGAGAGUCGCAUACCCUGUUUCAUUAGCAGAGGAAAAAACUGAUUUCAGUGGAGGGGAGGCUAAGAGGGGGCUACAUCCGAGUCCAUGACUAGUGUGGUUGACAUCCACCACAAAGCAUCCUUGGACGGGACCAACAAGUAUAUAUAUAGCUAGUGAGCAAACCAUUUAAACAAAAAUGGCUCUUUUUGGCUCGUGUAAUUUCCGAAUAUAUUUGUGACUGUUUUUUGUUAUUAAAAACAUUAAUAUGUUUAUUGUGGCUCAUUUAAACGAGUACAGUUGCUUUACAUCAUCUUCUUUUUUCAUUAUAUUUUUCUGGGGUGGCCGAGAGCAUGUUUUUACCUGUGGGCCUCUGCUGGAUUGCAUCUGCAGCCAUGGAGGUGCAUAGAACUGCAGAUCACAUGCAACCAAAGAACACGAUUUUGGUACGUAUCUGUCCCUGAUUGAAUCAGUACAUACCAACAUACGGUAAGAGGAAGGAUGAAAAGAUGUGCGAGGAAAAAUACAAGAGAAGAAGAAGAAGAAGAAGAAAGAGUGGAGGAAGGAUGAAAAGAUGUGGAGGAAAAAUACAAGAGAAAGAGAAUGGAAGAAGAAGAAGAAAUUGUGGAGGAAUACAAGAAGAAAGGAGAGGAGAUAGUCGACGAAGAGGAUGGAGGAUGAUAGCCGUGCACGAUGAAAGGAUCUCAUGAUGGGUGCAUAAGAAUAUAUUGCAUAUAUGAUUGGAUUGGGUUGGAUUGGACCAUCCAAAAUAGGGACUGUUCGUGCAGCAUAUCGGCUCCAAAAGAGGGAACGGAUUCACAUCCUUCGUUCGGUACCACCUUCUGAUAUAACUAAUCCGUCGCAUAUGCCACAAAUUUAAGACCAUGUAAAACAACCAAUGAUCAUCUACGGUGUACGGAGAACAUAAACGAAGGUAAAAAAGCACAAUCUCGUGUUUAUGAUGAGAAAAGUAGGAGAAACCAUCCCAUCCCGUAAACGGCAUGUACUCGGACAAAAAGAGAAACAUAGUUCUGAACCUGAACACAAAACAAAAUAAGGGCUGUGAAAACGAUUUCAAACCUGACAGGUAGGUAAUGAUGCUGCGCCCUCUAGCUAUCAUCUUUCUUGCAGCCACAGGAUCGUCAUGGCCGCUUCCCUGCAACAUAAAGUAGAUCUACGUUGAUCGGCGGUAACAAUAAUAGUUAGAAGAAACUAGUGCUGACUUCUUUUUCUGACAGAAUAAUCGUAAGUGAUGCAGCGGUUAAAAAUGCUAAUUCACACAUUCUGUAUAAAUGAGAUGCUGCUGCUACGUAACAUGGUACAAAACCUAUGUUUCAUGACCAGAACACCUAAUUAUCUCACAUACAAUGCAGCAAUGACAGCUGACUACAUGAAUCCCUAAUUUACAUGCAGAGGUUGAUUUACCAUAAACUGCCUCGGCUUGCACAGUGCUCCUCCUAAGCUCAUAGAACAACAAAGAAAGUAUACACACACCACUAGGCUACUAGAACAAUAAACACUAACUUCUUACUGUUUGACUAUGUCUUCUAACUGAUCUAAGCCAAAUUCAACCGGGAUAAAGUUCUAUUAUCCUUAUAUGUCAGAUGCUGAACUUGAGACACCAUGGCUCGAGCGUUUUCUCUUGUGAGACCUCCAUGUAAUGAUCUUCUCCUGCCAACCGCCGGCAUCCCCUUCUUCAUCUUUGUUGUCAGGUAAAUUUCCAGAUUGGUAUUUUACUGGUUUUUUGCUUGAAUCAUCGCUGACACCCACAGAAACCAUGGAGUCCAUAUUCUUUUCCUUGGUCAUAUUUUGCCCUACCACUUCGUCAGAUUCAGAUGGCUGUUCGCCAGAUUCAUGUGUACCAAACAGGAACCUGCUCCUUUUUCCUGCAGAUGAUAACUUUGACAAGUCUCCUCCGUCUUCCACAGCUUUCAUCCACUGGACAUCACUCAAUAAAUCAGUAUAAAUAACCUCCUUACGCCGUCUCUUCCCAGUGACCUCACCGCUUCGUGUAUCCACGCCAAUACUCUCUUUGGUUUUUUCUUGAUUUGUUUUAUGAUAUACCCAAUCGGGCACCUCCUUUUCUUCCAUCAGCCUUGAUUUAUACCUUUCCUUUUGUCGUCUCUCUUCGUCCACCUUCUCAAACAGCCAGAAUUCCUCUUCGGUUCUUGCUGCAAGGCGGUUGAUCUCUGUCUCACUUGGCACAUCAGUUCCCAGCGAGUUUGUGCCACGCCGCAUGAUCUCCUGCAACAUCACUCGCCUGUCCUGCGCUGGAAGGUAAAACCAGCAGCACAUCAUCAUUAUGUCAAAAUUCGUCUUAAGAAAAUAUAUAAAAACUUAAUAACUGAGGUAUUAUGGCAUUUUAUAAAAAAAAUACUGACCAGUGGACGUAGUAUUAAACAACCCUGCCUGGAUCACUUUUGCAUCUAUACCCAUCUUCUGCUUUGCACGUUCCAGGAUUUCCUCCUCGAUUGAUCCAACGCUGACCAAGACAAAGACACGGACUUCCUUCUUCUGGCCGAUUCGAUGUGCUCGAUCUUCUGCUUGUUGGUCCAUCUGGGGGUUCCAAUCACUGUCAAAAAUUAUAACAGUAUCUGCAGACUGUAAGUUUAAUCCAAGCCCACCAGCUCGAGUGCUCAAAAGAAACAUAAAAUAUGGAGAGUUUGGUGCAUUGAACUGUUUGAGAAACAUUCCUCUAUCAUCUGUCUUAGUCGACCCAUCAAGCCUAAGGUAUUUAAAACCAUGUAACUGCAAAUAAAUCUCUAAGAUAUCAAUAAGACGAGUCAUCUGUGAGAAAAGGAGAACUCUGUGACCAGAUUUCUGCAGUUUUGGAAGUAAACGAUCGAGCAACUCGAACUUUCCUGAUGCCCUGACAAUUUCCUCCUUUUGCCACAUGUUAUAAUCUCCUACAAAAAGGUAAGGAUGAUUACAGCACUUCCUAAGUUGCAUCGACAAGUUCUGAAGGCUCUUUGACUUUAUGCCUGCAUUUUGUGAAUAACCCCACAUCAGCAUAAACAUUUAUUAAUAAGUGAAAACUACAUAUAUUGUAUAUGAUGUACAACUAUAGCAUCUCCAAGACAGGUGGCUGACAGAACAGAAUCUUUAGAUUAUAGAGACUCUUCUGAGUUAAUAAAGAAAAAAAUUGUCCCUCUUUUAGCGAAAUCAUCCAGAGGGCGCAUCAAAAGCAAGAAUUUUAAAAAAUGGCCUGUAACAACCAUGCAGACCAGUAUUCAUUAGUUGAAGUGAACAUCAGCAGGUAGAACAUAGUCAGCCACAAUAUUCCUCAGACCAUUCAGGGAUUUUGUUAGUGAACCUGUUCGAGGGUUCAUAACAUCUAAACCAUUAGAAUACUAGGAUAAGGGCUCAAAGGAAAAUCACAAUGGCAAAACAGCAGCAACAACUUUUAAAGCAAACGCUCAAGGAAUAGGAAUCACAAGUAUGAGCGCUCAUUACAUAAAUUUUGAUUGUUCUCAGCUUCCUUUUUUCUCUCUUUUCCACUGAUUGCUGUGUCAAUACACAGUAAUGCCAUUUUUACCAAAGUGCAGUUCUAGUCGGGCCACCAGCUUUUUGAUCCUUAAUCAAAAGUAUCUAAUUCAAAUAAUUACAAGUUUAAAUCCACAAUCAACUCAGGGAUGCCAGCCAUGUUAAUGGUUAAGAUUAUAUAAGGUAAAAAUAAGCAUCCAGCAACGAUUAACCAACAGCCAGUAGUUGCACCAAAUAAAGUUACAAAAGAGUGGAUUUUGAAGAAUGAGGACACAGAAAUCUUGAAAGAGAGAUGCCAAAACCACACAACAUUUUAUUUUCCCAAUUUAUCCAGUAUCUACAACAUGGGUCCUUGUGAAAUGGGCAUAUAACAGUCACAACUCUAGCAUUUUAAAUUUGAUAAGUGUUCUCACUGAUCUGGAAGGAAAUAAAGAGCAAACCAAAGAAAAGCUCAUGUCCCUUAACUAUAAAACUUACAAUAGAUCAAAUUCUUCGGUGAAUGACUAACUUUUCUACUGAUUUUGUGUUGCAUGUGCCUAUAGCUAACAAGUCAGUCUUUAACAUUUCAGACUAGUAACACUGUUGCACCAUAGCUAACAUAGAAAGACUACUACAACAUAAAUCAGUCCAGUUAAAUACCAAAACCAGAAAUUAGAAAUACAAUAAGAUUUCUACAGCUCCCAAUUGGAGUCUGGAUGUCCCAAGUUUCACAGAAAGCUCUCUUACCAAUUUUUUCUUGCCAGUAAUUUGGCAUAAAAUAUUCAGAUACUUACACAAGGUAGGUAAUCAAUCAGAAAACUCAAUAUGGCUGGAACAAUCUCAAAUAACUUCUGCUCUACACAACCAAUCCAAAUUAGAAGUGAAAAGUCUUUCAAGUAUAAAAUAGAUUGGUUGAUAAAAUUGAUGAAAGAUUGUUCUUUAAUUUCUUCCAAGGUCAUCAUCUCCUUUGCCAGUUUUAAUUGCAUUCUAAUAAAACCACCAUAGAAUAGCAUAUGUGAUGCAUAAGCCAUUUUGCUGUCUUUGGAAUAAUUUGGUUUUAAGGGUUGUUUUUUUUUUUCAAAAAUGUAAUUAGUUUGUAGACUAUCUUCUGCCUGAGAAAAAAGGAAGCUGACCCGCAAGUAGAUGAGAAGGUAUUCAUGUGAUGAUUUCUUUUUUCAAUUAAAGAUCUCGUGCAUUAGAAAAAUCAUCUACCUAAACAAGAAGGAAAUGUGAAUUUCUCUAGCCAGAGAAGAUGAUAUGAUUAAUUUUAUUACUAGACUAAAAAUUUUAGAAUUUCUUUGCUAAGAUUUCCUUUCUCUUGGAGGCCUAUACAAAUGAGGAAAGGGUUUGUAACAAAAGACAUGGUUGAAUAAAUAUAAAAUUAUAUUUUCUCACAAUAUAUUAGUUGUGUAAGACCAUCUCAGGCCUGUAUUUAUUCCUUCUUUUCUCUCUGUGUUAUCUAAAACUAUAUUAUCCCUUCAAAUUAGUCCUUGUUGAAUUUUUUAUUUAAUAAAAGAUUUUGCAACCUUGUUCUUUAUUCCUAAUCCAACUUAACCCAAAAGCAUGGUUCGUCUUACCGGUUCGUCUCUGUGUACUAACCAACUGUCGAUAUGAUACAUACCGAACUGUACCAAGCUGUAUCGAGUGACACAUGAUACAUGAGGGCGUACCGAUGUACCACGAUACCACCAAUACUGGUCCUUUAUCGGACUGGUAUAUACUGCCUGUACCAAACAGUAUGGCAAACCUUGCCUAAAAGUAUUAACCAGUGAGCAGAACAAUAUGAAGCAACACCAAAAGAUGUCAUUUAGAACAAUUUUAAGAAACCAGAAAAUUGACUCUUAACAUACCAGAUUCUAGUCCAACCCUUCCAAUGUCAGUGAUCUGCUGAUAAUAAGCUUUCUGCCAAGCAGAUAAAUCACAUUUUAGUAUAACUUGUGUUUUCCCAGGAAGAUAUUUUUCCACUUCAUCCUUCUUCCUUCUAAGAAGGAAAGGCCUUAUAACCUGAGGAAUAAAGAAACAUUAAGAAUAUAGACUAUCAUAAAAUAAUAAUAAUAAUAAUUAUUAUUACUAUUAUAAUAAGACUAUGAUAAUGGUGAAAUGAAACAUGACAGUUGCUGGCAAGUACUUGAUGUAAUCGACGAAUAAUCAAGAGCUCUUCUUCAUCAGUAAGAGUUACUUCGCAUUUGUCUGCAAAGGGUGCAUUGAACCAUUCCUCGAAAUUCUGUACUGAAUUAAAUAUGCUAGGAAGAAGGAAAUUAAGUAAUGCCCACAGCUCCUGCAAACUAUUCUGUAUCGGAGUACCAGUCAAAAGUAGUCUGCGACGUAUAUGAUAGCUGCAUAUAAUGACACCUAGUUUUCAUAAGCAAUAGACAAUACUAGAAAAUCAACAUAGUGAAGAAAAAAAAGAAGAAGGGAUGACCUCAGGAUUUACUAAGGGACAAACUACAAGGAUCUAGAAAGUAGAAACAUAUUUCUUAAGCAUUAUUUCCUCACAGAAGCAAAGAGCUUAAUCUGAAUUCAGAACAAAGAUAUCAGCUUUUAUUAAUCGAGAAAAGAAAUCUCACAACGAGGUAAGAUCCUUUAUCUCCAGGAUAGAAAUUCAUACUAGGUAUAUAAUGAUGUGAUGUGAAAUUUUGAAAUGUCUUUUUCCUCCCUAGAAACAAGAAUAGGAUCGAUGAAGUAAUAAAUAUCAUAGCAACAUGCACGAGUAAGAACUAGCCAAACACAAGCCUCAAGCAGCAAGUUGAAAUUUAUGAAGGUGCUAGCUAGCGGCUGGUAAAAGACUUUGUCACAUGACCACAACGUCUUGUGAUCAAAUCCCGUCUUCACCACUUGCCCUAUGUAAAAAAAAAACUUUUUUGUGUUCAAAAAUAAGUUCCAUCUAAUUUUGAAUAAUAUCGCCUGGUACGGUACGAAAUUUCAAUCAUUGAUUUCAAAACUGUGUAAAAAAUAAGGUCCAUCUUUCUGCCUAUAUCCCUUUAGGUUCCAUAUAAACAAGAGAUGUUAAAACAUUUCACAAAUACAACCCAAUUAGACCCUUGAAGGGCAAACAUGCAAGAUCUAGAAUCCCAGGUAAAAGUGGCAUUUUUUUGUUUACGCACCUAAAAAAUGAUAUUUGCAUAUUAGCCAUUCAAUUCUUCACAUUUGCAAAAUGAUGCCUAAUAACUCAAAACAUAUGGUACAUUGUUUUAUGGUUAAUCUACUCAACCAUGGUACGGUCAAGAGACUUAAGACAACCAUGAGAUUGAACUACUAUACCACACAACAAUAACAACAACAAAGUUGUAAGUCCGGAUUAUUUAGGGUCGGAUACAUGGAUCUUUUACCAUCAUUGAAAUCUGUCAAAAGCCUUAAAAUCCAUGUUCAUAAGAUUUGAUACAGUUUUAUGCUGGUUGUCAGUGAUUUAACGCAACCUUUCACCUUUUUUAUCUGGGCUUGGGACCAACAUUGCCGCCAUUGAAUUACUAUACUAUGUAAGCUAAAAAAUGAGUCAAUUUCCUAAUUCCAAGGUUUUGUUUCAUGCUUUAUUUUUCACUAUAGUUUCUUAUUCUCCACCAUCAAUCUUCUAGAGUUUCAAAUUUCCUACAUCUAGAACUUCCAACAUUUAAAAGACAUAAUUUCAAGGGCUUCAAUGGACAUGUAGACUAUCUAGAUUUUGUAAGAAAUAAAUUUAUUAAGAUUCUAUUAGUAUUAGGCAUUUUCAAUUGUUCUAUAGGAUAGAUCCCCUGCAUUUAUCCUUCACAGACUUAGCUCACGUAUGGAGCCGAGGAGUUUGUGCUUCUUUAUAUCAACAUAGCAAAUAGUUUUCAUCUAUACUAUAUCAACAUAGCAAAUAGGUUUCAUCUACAGCCUACAUUAUCACUAAUACAGCUAAAAUCUUAAACUUGCAAUGGAACUUCACUUACUGUCCCCUGCUUUGCUCUAUUUAACUCUAUGCAUGCUUGAUUUUAGCGAACCCAUCUAUCAAACCUUGCUUAAUCAAUUCGCAACAAGAGCACUUCAAAGAAGAUGAUGAUCAUAUAUUGCUUGGUGAAAGUCUUGAAGGUGAGGGUUCCUUUUAUAACACUUGAGAUAAUCUUGAAUAAACAACCAAUCCUCAUAGUGUUCAUUAAAUGAUUUCAUAGGUGCAUAUAUUCUUUUGUCAAAACAAAACUUUCCCUUUUUCAAAUUUUAAAUAUUCCAUUGAGCAAGCUAAAUGUAGUCUUGUAUUUUUCCAUCCAAGUAGCAGACUUGCAGGAUUAAUUUUUGUUUCCCAAAAAAGAGGAAAAAUUAGUAUUGAACAAACAUAAAUAUAUUGACUUCAUCAAAUUCAGUUUCUGAAGGGAACCAUACCCUGAGAUGAGUGUCUUGGCAAGAACACACUCAUGGUUUUUCAGGCGAUGUCCUUCAUCAACAAUCAUGUAAUACCAGUGUAUUUUCUUUAGAAAAGCUUUGUCUCUCAUUAUCAGAUCAUAGUGUGUGAUCAUCACAUUAAAUUUGCCUUGUCCGGAAUACUCUUCCCUCAUCGCCUUCCUCUCAUUAAGGCGCCCAUCAUAUAGAACAGCCACGAUACUGUGCCAAUAAGAGAACAAAAAUGUAAGAGAAAUGAGGCAUCUGUAAUCUAAAUUAUUUUCAAGACAAGGUACACACCUUGGUGCCCAAGUUGAAAAUUCAUUAAUCCAAUUUGGCAACACAGCCUUUGGAGCUACAAUCAAGUGGGGUCCAGUAACACACUUAUUUUCCAUUAAAUAUGCAAUUAGUGCAAUGGUCUGGAUUGUCUUUCCUAGACCCAUCUCAUCAGCCAGAAUACCAUUUAGAUUGUUGUUAAAUAAGGAAAGCAUCCACUGUAGUCCUUCUAAUUGGUAAGGUCUUAGUUCCCCACCUUGAAGCAUCGAUGGCUGCUCUGUUACCUAGGACAUGCCAGAGAUUUGAAGAUUAGUACUCACAUCUCAUUGAAGGUUAUUCAAUUAAAUAGAGUACCAGCAGUGCAAAAUUACAAAAGAAAAAUAUGUAUUAGAUAAAAUCAUUUGUGAAUCGUCUUGUCCAUAUCUGUACCUAGCGUCAAAGAAGGCCAACUGAAGAGACAUUUAUUGUCGCACACCCACAACUGGAGCUAAAAAUGGCAUUCUUCAGCGACAAUGUACUCCAAAGGCCCUGUUUGGUAUGAGGAUCAUAUGCCUAAAAUUUUUCAUAUGUUACAAUAUUAUAUUUGAAUUCCAAUAGAAUUCCUCAACUUGUCUUUAGCCACAUUUUCAAAAUCUCAACCUAGAAUUUUCAUUUUCCAACUUGUUCUUGUGUUUAGUUGGAGGGAUUUAUAUUUAUUCUACUGUUCCCAAGAUUCUUAUCGUUGGAAUUAGAACCCAAAUCCCUGUAUAUUGGGCAGCUAACCAGAAUUUCUAAGUUCCCAAUCCUAGGUGGGCAUGAGGAGGCGUAUGGGUGAAAUCCUGGGAUGUCAAGGGGAAAAGCCCAUAAAAUCCCCAUGUCAAACAGGGCAUAAAAAGAAUUGCAUUCUCUAUUGGUGAAAAUAUGUUUGCAACUGAUAUCAUAAGACCUUGUGAACAUUAUGAAUUUCAGCCUUUUCAAUCCAAACCUGAAGGAUACUUAAGACAUAGCACUAAAAGAUUCUCAUUCAAGACGUAAAGAUCUGAAAGGACUUGAAAGUCAAUAACUUCUGUAUGCACCUCAGUAACAAUAGAUGAAGUUCUGAAAGUAUAUAAGUAUCCAAGUGGAACCACUGUGAGAGCUAAAUUAGACCUUGUUAAAUUAAGUUUUCUAAUAAAUGAAGAAAUGACUACCACAUAAUAACAUAUCAAACUCAUCUGUUUAAUUAUUCAGUGAUUGAAAACUGUCACUAAUAUUCUGGUGUAAGAAAAAGGACAGCCCACUCUGUGAUGCAUCGGUCAAUGCAGAUUUUGUGAUAUUCAGCCUUACUUCUACCUACAGAAAUAUUUAUUCUGUAAUUUAAACCCAUCACAUCUGGAUUCCGAUAAGUAACACAUCAUAACACCAAGACUCACCCUCGUCAUGGUGUAUAUAUAUACAUGUACUCAUUAAGAGAUACAAUUCAAUUGUUAUGCACUUAAAACAAGAGGCAAUGGUCAGACUUGGAUCAAUUUCAUGCUUCAACAAUCUUGAGAAAGAUGAAAAUAUCACUUGACUUACCGUCCUUUGCUAGAGUCAAAGUUAGAUCAAACUUGAAGGUUAUAAAAGAAAAUACAAUUACAAGCAACCAGACAUCAUCAUAUAUAAAACAGUUAUGCCAAUAAGCACAUAAAAUAUCUUGCUUCAUUUAAUUCUAUCAACGUAAACCAAGCAUUCUAGAAAACAUAAAAUCUAACAUCAAAGAUUUCAAUUCUUCCAUGUCGGAUAUUGUUUCUGCACCUAUCCUUGUUUACACAUAAUCACAUAUACAUAUGUACUGAUCAUCCCAUAUUAUAUAUUGGCCGUGAAACAUAGGCAUGGAAAGGAGGUGCAUUUCAAUGUUUGCAUUUCAUCUCAUCAGGUCUUGUUAUGGCACCACAUGCACAUUGAUAUGCACUAAAUUGCCCUGAGAUAGGCCUUCAUGCAUGGAAUGGUGAAGUGCCAGCAAGAUCUGGGUACAUCAUGCCUUGAUUCUUGAUAAAUUUAAGUAAAUAGUUUCAAUUGCUCCAAGCAAACAGGAAAUCCAACUUGAAACAGUGAUUUAAAAAGCGCUAAGCGCUAGGCGCUUGCCCGAGCAAAGUGAGACACUAAAAUAUAAAAAUAUAUAAUAUAAUUAAUAAAUAUAAUUAUUUAAAUAAUAAUAUGAUAUUAUUAAUCUAAUAAAUAAAAAAAUACUAUUAUCAAUAUGCAGUUAAUAGUAUAUUGUUCACAGUAUACUAAAUCGAGUCGAUGUAAGAAGAGAGUGAGUAAGAGUAAGAUCGAGGCUGCUGACUGAGAGCAGCGGUAACGGUAGCAACGAGUAGCAGCAACAGUGGCAGCAGCGAGUAGUGAUAGUGGCAACGGCAAGCAACGGUAGCGGCGAGCAGUGAUAGUGGCAGCAGCGAGUAGCGACAGUGGCAACGAAGAGCAACGACAACGGAGAGAGGCAACGACAGCAGAGAGAGGUAGCGACAGCGGAGAGGAAAUAUCGAUGACGGAAUCGCGAGCAGGGUUAGGGCUGGAGAAGUCGUGAGAGGGAUGUUGGAGGCUGAUAUCGGUGGUUUAGUUGGUUCGAUUGAACCAACUAACGCAAAUUCGAUCGAACCAAACCUAAAACACUGGUUCAGUCGUCCGGUUUAACCAAGGCGCUCGCUCGAAGCGCCCAACGCCUGGGCUCGGGCGAGCGCCCAGGUGGCGCCUCUUUGAAGCGCAUCGCCUGGACAUUAAAUGAGGCGCUCGGGCCUUGCCUCACCUCGCCCAAGCGCCUAGGCGAGCGCCCGAGCGCCUAUUGAAAUCAUUGGUUUGAAAUUUAACAAUCCUCUCCUAGUUGACCCAAAUAAAGGUGAAGUUUGGAUUUCCAAAAGUAAUAUAAGACCUCUAUUAAUAUAUUCAGUUUACUAAGAAGAAAAACACAAAAAUAGUAGAAGAGAAAGAAGACAUUAAUGCAUGCAAACAAACAAACAAACACAGAGAGAAAAAUAACAUUCUUUUCAUAGAGGGCAAUACUCUUUAACAUCCACAAUCUCAUUUUACCAUGUAAUAUGCUUUCACAAAAUAAGACACAUCCCUAAUUGUUAACACAACUUAUUACCAGACUCUUUCUUAACCCUCUUAAGUGAGUUAAAACAACAAAAGUUGUAGCAGAGAAAUGGUUGCAAAAUUACUUAAAGAAAGCUAGGUUUAUCACCUGAAUAAGAUAAUGAUGGGUCCAACAUACACCACAAAGACAAUCUAAAAUUGAUGUAUAAAUAAUUUGUUUUCAUGACAUAAUUUAGAAAGCUCAUAGUAAACAUUGCCCUUACUGUACCUUUUCCUGAAUUGAAUGAACAGCAGAGUCAUACUGACGUUGUCCUUCAAGCAAAUCAGUGGCUUUUAUGUUCUGAUUAGACUUCACAUCAACAGCAUCAUCACCGUUGCCUAGAGAGAAUCCCUCAGGGGUUUCAUUCUUAGAGAUAGAGAUGUGUGGAAGACUAUUGGUACCCGAGUCUUUCACAGCUUCAACCCCAUCAGUAUGUUCUGCGUCCUUUUGCCGUUGUACAGCAGCUCCAAGACAAACAAGAAGUUCAUUUGUUUUUCCAAGAAGCAUUGUCAAGCGUUCAUUCUUGCUUUCUUCUACCAUCCGCAUGUAAGCUUCUUGGUCAUCUGCUUUUAAUGCUUGGAACCUCAACUUCUCAGCACGUGUAGCACGUUGCCUUUGCCGUGCAUGCCAUGCCUACAUUGCCAAAGAACAACUCAGAGUGUCCCAACCAAACAUGGAAAAAAUUUUGAAUAAAAUACAACAGAAAUUAUACUAUAGCAACACCAAUUAGCACCUUUUUGUCUUGUGAAUUUCUAAAUGUUCAUGAGAAAACAUUAUUUUGAAUGAUCAAAUAUAUGUGAAAAAUCACUUAACAAAAAGGCAUCAAGCUCUGCUAAGCAGCUAAUUUCCACUCGGCACCAUCUGCUAUAGAAUUAUGUUCAGGCAAAUUGCAGACAUGUCAAGCUGCAACAGAAAUGCCUAUUGACUCUUAAUUACAGCGAGGAUAGCUUGCUUACUUAGGACAAACCAAAGAAAAGCAGACCACAGACUCUUAGCGGCUUUGCCAUACUUAGCAACAUCUCAUACAUCAAAUUGAAUUUUCAGAAAAAAAAAGGUUAAGCAAAGAAAUGAAAUUAAACAUAAUCACAACCUGAACCCCAUCAUUCCGCUGUUUCCGUCUCUUCAAAACAGCUUGUGUUUGUAACUGAAACUCACGGGCAGCAUUAAGAACGUCAGCAAAAAAUUUCCUCUUGCCAAUAUCUGCCUGGUUCUUUUCAUCCUCUUCUAAUUUUGACAGCCUCUGCAUGAGAAUCCUCUAGUGAGAUAUGUAUCUUUUUGUCCCUUUUAAAUAACAAGAACAAGAAAAGAUUUCUAAAAGUUACUUAAGGUGAUAGCAGUAGAGAACCUCUACAUAUCUUUUCUUCCGACGACGAUUAUCGGCCUCCAUUGCAAAACUAUCUCCAGUUCCAUACAUGUUAAAUGGAUAUGUCAAUCUCAUCAUUCCCCAGUCAAACAAUGUCUUUCCAGGAUGUGCACAUUUUUUGUGCAACCAAUAUUCUGCACUCACCUGAGACCGCACCUUCCUCUGCAAGUCUACAAGCUAAAAAAAAGAAAAGAUGUUUACCAGAAAUGAAGGAAAGCAGCAUAUAGUCACAAAGGAAAAUGUAAAUAUCAAUUACAUAUCAUAUAUUGACUCAUUAUAAUAGAAAUUGUCCAUCAAACUUUGUGAAACUUCUAACUACACAAAAUCAUAUUAAUCAAUCACUUGUUUCUGCUACUAUGUCAGCAAAGGACAAGUUUUAUGCCAGAGAGAAGACAAAAUGGUCCAAUUAUUCUUUGGUAAAUGAGCAGCUACCCUAAAUUUAAUACUACAUUAGCUUUUGCAGUGCAACACUAGAAACCCUUGCACUAAUUAUGUACAGUAACACUAGUGGCAGAGAUCUGUAUGAUAAGACCCUAAAGUCUUAUCGUCGCUCUGAUACCAAAUGAUAAGACCCUAAAGUCUUAUCGUAAAAAAGAAGAACAGAAAGGGGAUGAUCGCUUCGAGGGGAUCGGCCUCCUUGAUCACUUCGAGGGGAUCGGCCCUCCUUGAUCGCUUCGAGGGGAUCGGCCUCCUAGGGUUUGUCAAAAGACAAAAAUAGUAUUUUUCAUAUAUUACUGAAAAGAAACAGUUACAUCCCUAUUUAUAGAGUUCCACCCAGAGUUCAUCAGAACUUGAACUCUAAUAAUAAAUAAAUAUUAAAUAAACCUCUACUUGAUUCUAAUUGAAUCAAACUGACUCAAUAAACAAUUGGACUAAAUAGACUCAAUAAACAUUAUUCAAAAGCUCAGAAAAAUGGUCCUAACAGUUCCUCCCUCUUCAAAUCAGUCUUGUCCUCAAGGCUGAGCAGCAUCAAUCUCGAGGAGCUUGUCUUUUAGCACUUCAGUCAUAGGCUAUCUGCAACGCAUCACAACCCGUUGAUCAAGUAAGUAUGGUCUCCACUUUUUGACAGUGUAAGCAAUAGGUCGAUCUUUCAAUGUAAUAAUCGUUGUAAGAAAUUCCUGGUCUUUACUAUCAUAAGUUAAAAUUCGUCCAUCAGCUUCGAAUAUAUCACAUCCUUCAAUGUGGUGGGCUAAUUGGACUGCAACUUUCCUGUCCAUAAAAUUAUUAGUGCUAUCUGUAUCAAUCAAAAUAGUGACAGGUUGAUGCUUCAAAGUUCCUCCGAUUUUCAUAGUUUGUGGGUUAGUGUAGCCAGCUAAUGCAUGCACUGUAUGUGUGAUGGCUUCAAUAUCUUCAUCAGUUUUCAUACCUUUAUGAUCGGAGUCCAACUCUUUUACUUCCAGUUCCUCUCUAAUUGGCUCAAUCAUCAGAAGUUGCCCUUGUUUACAUCGGUGCUCUAUACUCCACUUUUCAUCAUAGUACAAACCCUUUGCUGAUCUUUCCUUAAGUUCUUCUUGGGUUAGUCUUCGGGUGUCAAGGCUUUGGUUGGGAAUAGAUAGGGCUGGUGGCUUACUGAUCAUCUGGUUAUUGUCACUUCUGUUUCCAUGAUUUUCCCUGUUGAUUUUUUUCUCAUGUAGAUGUGCGAAUGAGAUCGCAGCUAUCAUAGUGCGAGGUUGACGAGCCUUAACUUCACAUCGGAUCUCUGGAAUAAGACCUUCAAUAAAUAUAUCCAGAAGUUAUCGUUCCGACCAAUCUCUAGCUUGAUUUGAUAAUCUUUCAAACCUACUCUGAUAUUCCAACACUGUAGAAGUCUGACAAAUUUUUUAGAGCUGUCCAUCCACCUUCGUGUAUGAGUAGAUUGUGUCACAAUCUUGGGGCCCUUUUCUAGUAUUUCCAGAUCUGUGCAAUGUAGAACUUGAGCUCCCACCUUGUUGAAAUUUACUAAGGCUCCCCAGUAAAUCUUUUUUGAAAUCAUUAAGUACUUCUUGUAACCGGUUCUCAAUUCUAAUUUUCAAUGCUUCCAUUUGUGCUUUCACUGAGUUAUCGGUGGUCAUUUCGUAAAACUGCAAAUCUGUAAUCUCAACACCUAUUUUUGGUGUUGGUCAAGGGCAUCAAUCACUGCCCUAUUCGGUGUUGUUGUUGUGACGCAGUCGGUGGCAACACUAUGUGAAUGAAGGGUUGCUGCAAGGAUGCAGGGAUGUAGCUGCGGUCGCCGCAUGGGAAGCAGCGAUGCUUGUUGCGGUCGCUACGUAGAGGGAUCGCUGUUGCUGAUGGCUUGGAGGCAGCGAUGGUGGUGCGGCUAGGGCAACACCGCUAAGGGCUCACCGCUGCAAUGGCUAUGACGGCGCGGAUGGAAGGCAGCGUUGCUCUGUUUCUGUCACACUGCGGAAGGAGGCGCUGGUGAGAGGCAACGAUGCUUGUUGCAGUCGCUGCGUGGAGGGAUCGCUGCUGCCGAGGGCUGGGAGGCAGCGAUGGUGAUGUGGUUGGGGGCAGCGCCGGCAAGGACUCGCCGCUGCGGUGGCUGCGAUGGAGGAAGAGUUGCUGCCCUGUGUUUUUGUCACUGUGUGAGAUGAGAGCGCUGAGGCUGAAAGGCGACGGUUGUGAUUGCUGUGACCCAAGGAAACAAUCGCCGAGAAGCCGGGUUGAGGCUGCGGUGAUGCCAACCAACAACUGCAGCAGCGGAGGCAGAACAAGAGGGAGGUGGCGUUGAAGCGGUCGGGGUUGAGGCUGUAGUGGUGGCAACCGACGACUGUGGCAAAGAUGCAGUGCAAGGGGGCUGCAGCAACGGUGCAGAUCGAGGGGGUUGAGGUGAAGGCUGCGGUGGCUGGCAGCAGCAGUCGUGGCAGGCUGGGCGGCGAGCGGCGUCGUCGCCGGCUGGGCAGCAAUGGCGACGGUGGUGGCAACCGGCAUUCGCAGCAGCAAGAGGAUUGCACUGUUUCUCGGUCACAAGGGGGCAGAGCAAGGGUGAGUGGCGGCGGUUGUUCUCGCCCGAGCCAGGGGGAGCGGCGGCUGGGAGGCGAGCAGUGGCCGCCGCACGGUGGCUGGCAGUGGUGGUGGGUCGGCUGGAAGGCGACGGCGCUCGAGGCGUGGCUGCGAUCGACGAGGGGCUGCGGCAACAGAGGAAGCUCUGUUUCUGCAACCGCUACAAGGAGGGGCUGCGGCAACCGGCGGCUACGGUUGCGGUGCCGGCGGUCCUUCUCGCUCGAGCGAGAUGGGGACGCAAGGAGAAGAGGUCGCUGGCCGGGUGAUCGAGCGGCGGCGAUGCGGCUGGGAAAAGUGGUGGUGACGCGGCUGGGAAUAAGGGCAAUCCAUGAGUUGCCCUGUUUCGGUCGCCGCGAGGAGGGCGACAAUCGGCGGCUGCGGCUGCGACCCAAGGGGAGGUGGGCGACGGUGGAGAGGCAGCAAUGGUGGCGCGGCUGGGAGCAGCGUCACCAACGAUCGCCGAGGAGGAGAGGUCGAGCGGCUGCGCUGCGACGCAAGGGGAGGCGGGCGACAGCAGUAGGGCUGGGAUGGACGCUGGCAGCGUCGUCUCCUGGCCGAGGAACAGCGGCGGCGGUGGUCGCCGGCCGGGAAGCGGGGCGAUGGUGGGCGCUGGCCGGAGAGCAGUAGCGGCGGGUGGGCUGGCCGGAAGCAGGGGACGCAGGGGUGGCUGCGGCUUCUUCUUCCUCUCGUGUUUUUCUUUUCUUUUUCUUUCUUUCUUUUUUUUUAUUUUUUUGAACGAGAUGGGACAGCGAGGAGGUCGAGCGGUGGUCGAAGGUUGCUGGCCGGGGAAACAACGACAACGGUGAAGAAAGAGUUGCCUUGUAGUGGUGGUGGGGAAGAAGGGAAGCAAGGCUGCGGCGGGCUGCGCCAAGGAUCGUUGCUCUGAUACCAAAUGAUAAGACCCUAAAGUCUUAUCGUCGCUCUGAUACCAAAUGAUAAGACCCUAAAGUAUUAUCGUAAAAAAGAAGAAGAGAAAGGGGAUGAUCACUUCGAGGGGAUCGGCCUCCUUGAUCGCUUCGAGGCCCUCCUUGAUCGCUUCGAGGGGAUCGGCCUCCUAGGGUUUGUCAAAAGACAAAAAUAGUAUUUUUCAUAGAUUACUGAAAAGAAACAGUUACAUCCCUAUUUAUAGAGUUCCACCCAGAGUUCAUCAGGACUUGAACUCUAAUAAUAAAUAAAUAUUAAAUAAACCUCUACUUGACUCUAAUUGAACCAAACUGACUCAAUAAACAAUUGGACUAAAUAGACUCAAUAAACAUUAUUCAAAAGCUCAGAAAAAGGAUCCUAACACUGUAGCAUAGGCAAGACUUUUGUAUCUUUGAGACUGACUUGGAUUUUUCUAUUGCUUACAUAUUACAGCUUUGUGAUAGUCAUACAUACAUAUACAUAUAUAUAUAUAUAUACAUAUAUAUACAUAUAUAUGUGUGUGUUUAUAUAUAUGUACAGACAUUUAAUUUACAUCUAACAUUAAUUGAUCUGUAAUUCAAAAAUGCAACAUGUUAUGACGAUAACUUCACAUGCUACAUACAAUGAAGCAAUACAUAUUGGCAAAUUCAUUAUUAAUUAAAUUAAGCAUAUCUUCUAAAGACAAAUGCAUGUGAUUGUUUAUCCUCUUAAUAUAGAAGAAUCUUCUGUUAAUAUCUAACUAGAGAGCUCCCAGUAUGCGAUGUACUAUCCUAUAUAUUAAGCAGUAAUGUGUCAUGCGGUAAGUCUUUGAAGAUGUAUUUUUUCAGAAAACAUAAUUUAUGGUUAAAAUUUUCAAGUUUCAAUUAGAAGUACAAAAUAGACUCGUCAAAGAACAACUUCACUUGGAUAUAACUCUUAUUCAAAGUCCACAUUCAUGUAACACAUAUGUCAAGCACAACCCAAAUGCACACUAAAACAACAUCUAGAGUUUUAUUCAUUGAAUAAUUCCACAAUGAUACAACUUGCAUGCAGGAUAAUAAUGAAUCAAUUUUUUUGAACCAAGAAAAGCACUAAAUCUCAUAAAAUAAAAAUGUUGAGAUCAUAAUGCAGCCACUACAGAAUCUCAAGUCCAAGUUCAUAAAAAGCACUAAAUCUCAUAAAAUAAAAAUGUUGAGAUCAUAAUGCAGCCACUACAAAAUCUCAAGUCUAAGUUCAUUUGGAUUGACCAAAUGAAAUCAUUUUAUCUUCCAGUUAAAUAUAAGGUAACAAACUUGGUCGAUUGUGAGGGUGAUACUGAAUUGUACAACUGCUUCUAUGAAGUUACCUUUGGUCAUUUUCAACCUAUGUAUAUCAUCCAAUUUGUGAUCUAGGAGGCCCAUCUAAUCAACUAUAUGAUAUUAUCAGAACCUAGCACAAACCUACAUAGACAAAACCUCCUAAUAAGUGGAAGGUAAUUAGUAAUUUAGAAAGGCGCUCGGGUGAGGUGAGGCGAGGGCCAAGCGCAUCCGACACGCUUUAGUAAAGCGCCGCCUAGGCGCGCGGGCAAGCACCCAGUUGAAGCAAAGCAACCGAACUAGAUGAUCAACUCUAGUUCGGUUAAACAGUAGCUUAGUCGGUUCAAUAAAACCCCGCCCCUCGCGACCCCCCCCCCUCUCUUUUCAAUUGAGUAUUAUAGUCGUCUCAACUUCGCCGCCGAUGCAUAAGUCUGAUGCUUCCUCUGCCGUCGACGAACGAGUCCAAAUAGAUUUUGUGCGUGGUUCCCUCCAAUGAUCCUGCUUUUGUGAGCAGCUCCUUCCACCGCCGAGGGAUAAGACCACAGCUUCCUUCGCCACCGACAGACACAUCUAAAGCUUCCUCCACCCACGACGUCGUAGUCCGUAACUAUCGCUGCCACCACUGUCGCCAUCCGAAGCUUUCACUGUCUCAGUUGCCAUUGUCCGUAGCUUCCUCCGUCGUCGUUGCCAUCGUCCAAAAGUUCCUCUAUCACUAUCGCUCUCUCCUUCCCCACGUUUCACUAUCGAUGACUCUUUUAUCCCCCUCCAACUACUGUUAACAAUGGAUUAAAUAUUGUUAACAGUAGAUUGUUAAUCCUUAACUAGUAUUAAAAUUACUAUUUAAGUGUUAACUACUAUUACCAUAUAAUAGUCCCUAUUUAGCAUUGUUAAUAUCUAUUUAUUAAGAACUAUUAUUAGGGUUUCAGGUUCAAGAUUAAUGAUAAGUGUACAAAGUAAUUCAGAAGAUCUAUUAAAAAUUUUAAAAAAUGAUUUUGCCUGGAAUACAAUUAUCUAAAGGAUCCCAAAGAUCAUAAUGCAGUUACUUGUAUCUUCUGUGAUAAGACUACUAAAUGUAGCAUUUUCCAUGCAAAGCAGCAUCAAGUAGGGAACUUCAAGAAUGCAUCAGCAUGCAAGAAGUGUCCACCUAAUCAUAUUUAUCAAUUGUAUUAUAUAUUUUUAUAGUUUAAUAUUUCAGAGCAUCUCAUUUUGCUCGAGCGGGCGCCUAGAGCCUCAGGCUUUUUUGGGACCUUGGCACGUUUUGACACCUAGCGCUUUUUAAAACAUGGAAGGUAAGGACUCUCCUGGACAUCACUCUCAUACAUACUCUACACUAUUUCUCUCUAGUUUAGUUAUAAUCAUCAUCCUUCAUAAUGGAGAUGUCUGACUUGGGUGUCUGAGAGGCCAAUACAAGGAAACCCACAGCACCCUCUGACCACUUUUUCAUCUUGUAGUUGACUUUAUGGUUGGCACUCGCAAACUCCAUAGGCAACUAAGUUUAGAUCCAAUUGCUUGAUCAUGCUAACUCACUCAAAUGAUGCAACAUCCAAAUUGCAAAAACUGAAACCAUUUACUGUUCUUAUCAUUUCCAGUAAUAGAAUCAUACAUGAUCCUCAACCUCAAUUCCUCAUAUUGAAUGCACUCAUUUUAGCACAAAGCAGUAACACUACUAAUUCAACUAUUUUCAGCAUUUAAUGAUCUCUUAAAUCUCCUAAAUAGAGGAGCUGCCUUUUCACAUUUACAUAGCAUUCGCUCAAACAACUAAUAAUACUUGCACCUUACAAAGACCUAAGUUUAUCCAUCACCUACUUUCAGUCUCUCAUUGAUCAGAAAUGUUAAUAACAAUUAACAUGACCAAUGGAACUUCAUUUUGCGUAAGCAAAUGUCAGCUAUGAACCUAGAUGUAUGCCCCACAGUGUAAAUGUAUACCAUGGGGGCUUCCUAGAAUCAAGCAUCUCAGAUAUAUGCCAUGUAAAAUGCAAACAUGUAGAUUUCAUGCAUUCGCUCAUGCUAGUACUUGUAACAACAGGCACAUGAGCUACAUACCAUGUUGUCAUCAGGCAGCAAUAGCAUGACAUGCAGCACUUUGACACUUGUUUGCCACUUGAUCAAUACAGUAAAAGCAUCACAGUACUCAGAGAGUAGAGAAAUAAUAUGCAUUAAGAAUAUCCAAAAGGAAUAAUCAUCCAAGUAUAGAAUAAGUGAGUAUCAAUGUUGUACUAUGAAACAUAAGCACAAAAAUGCCUGUUCAGGUUCUCUAAGUACACCAUCAACUCAUUCUUGUUAUUUGACUGAUGAAUGUCAAAAAGCUUAACCUUAAAUGAUAAAUGCUACAAAAUUACCUUUAUGCCAUACAGCUCAAGCAAGCACUUCAUUUGCAAAUCUUCACCCCUACUCGAUGGUAAUACUGAUUCAACAGACACGUUCAGUUGGCUGAAAAAUAAAGAUAUAUCUACCAACAAACCAAAUAAUAUAGCAAAUGUCCUAUAUCAAAUGAAAAUAUUUUCAUAAAAUCAGAUGGAAAUAACUUUUUCAUUUUACAAGAAUCAUAUAAACUAGCCGGUAAACUUAAGCUACGAUGCUGUUGAUCAAUGUUAUAGCAAUCAAAAACCAAAUGUUUAUAUUUUCUAAAACUAACAAAACUAACAGCUAUAACUGGACUACUGGAGGAAAUUCACGUAGAGAUACAUAUGCACAGAAACAGGAUUACACAAGAAGAAAAGAAAAAGAAGCUCCAACAAAAGUUUUACUGCAUCUUUUCUUUUUUCGCUAAGGCACUCCAUACUCUGUGGUCUGGCAUGGGUACAAGUACCAAAAUUUUAAAACCUUGAGUGAAAGGUGAUAAUUUGUUAUUUUCUGGUAGCAUAGCAUUGAUGCCAACAAGAAUUAAUGAUUAAACAAAACAGUGAUAAACAAUUAUAGCAAACUGUAUAAAAAAGUACAUGUACAGCAUGAUAAAGAUGUCUCAGACACCAGGACACUUUUAAGCAAAAACAUUAAAUCCAUGAGAAAAAAUUCCAUGCAAGUGAUUCAAAAUAAACAGAAAAAAGCAAUCAAACUCUUGAUAAUAAAAAUUACCCUCAAGUUCUGCAAGACGAUGCUGAAUGAGACUGUUGAAAUGACGUUCUUUUGAUUCUCUCAGCGCCGAACUACACAUGCGAGUCGAUUGCUGAUUUAACAAGACAUCCUCUAGCGCUACUAUCAAACUACCUUCGCCUGGCACUCCAUUAAUCUGCAUGAAAGGAACAGUCUAAAUGCUGGCACAUCAUUCCAACUCCAUUAUGAUGACCAAGAAUACAAGCUAAAACAAAAGGCAGAAAACCAACUCUGUCAAAUGCACACAAAAUAAAAGGGUUAGCUGGUUGCAUCAAUCACCCAUUAAUCCAGUGUCCUGAACAUAUACAAUUUAGUGAUUGCUCAUUAAUCCUUAGUACACAAUCGAGAAACCCUAUUAAUGUACCAAGGGUCAAACCCAUUAUAACAAAUAUAAAAAAUAUGUCAAAGUACAAUCCUUGGGUCAUCAUAACUGUGUAACAUAUGUAUAAAUAAUUUAUGAAGGGACAAACAUGAUCAUGAUCUCGUCCUUCCAUGAAUCGUCACUCUUCAUUUUACAUGCACUUUUACUGUCAAACCAUUUUUCCAGUUAAAAAGUCGGACUUCAGUCUCUAAAAAUUAUAAAUCGAACAAUCAACUACAACAUGUCUGGUAUCAUACUAAAAUGGAUCUAUGCCAGCCAUAUUAUUCUCCUCAUGCUGGAUGUUUAAAUAUGAACAACGAAACACUGAAAAGUACUCCGGAAGUAACCUUGAUUGAAAGAGUUGCAGUAACAUCUGAACAAAUUGAGGGAUGCUUAUAACGUUCAAGCUUAUGAACUUCAGAAAGCAUUAUAACCUUCAAAUAGGGAUGUAGAAAAUUAUCUUAGAAACUAAGUUUUCUGGUUCAACAAUGUGCUUUCAUCACAACACUGCAAUCAUUACCAUGGCUCAACAAGCGUUAGCAUGUUCAGAAAAAAAAAACGAAUAUCACAAUCAAAAGAACAGUAUCGAUAAGCAAGGUAUAAUAAUUGUCUAGUUUUUCACUCGGUACAAAUUUCCGAGGCAAGAAAAGCAUGAUGAUUCUCUGUCUAAACAGGAGAAAUCAGAUUCUGGCCUAACUCACAUCCAUUGAGUUCAGACCUCGAUAACCAACAGGAUAUCUGCUGGUGUGCACAGUCCAUUCUGAUGGAGCAUUUGGGCUCCAAUGAAAGCUCUUUUUUUAUUCACAUAAAAACCCACCAUUCAAUUUAUCAUGAAGAUCUUUACAUACUUAGAAGCAUGAUCCUAUUACCCCAUAGAAUUACUUAUGACAGUCAACAAUAAGCAUUCAUUCUUUUUCUAGUGUCACGAUUUCAAAGUUAAAAAAGUAAUCAUUCAUUCUUUUUCCAAUGCCACAAUUUCAAAGUCCUCCUGAUGGAGAACCAUCUAGCUUUACAAAGGAUUUCAGAACCAUAUCUAAUAAUUAAGAUGAUUUUGGAUAGCUCUCUCAUCCAAAUACAUUGGUAUUAAAAAGCUCUUCAUUCAAUAGCUAUUUUUUAAAAAUAUUUAAAAUUUUGUUAGAUAAACUAGUCAAUCAAACUAUUCAUUGAUCUCCUAAACUCUUCCAAGUCGCAAUAGAAAUAUCAUCAGGUCUCUUAGCUAUUUAAGAAAUACAAAUGUAAUAAAUGCAAGACAUGAAUAACAUAAAAAAAAAUAACCAAUAAAGAAUUGCCAGCAGCUCCAUCUUGUCCAACCAAUUAUCUUUUUCAAUCAAUGGCUCUGGUGUGUAUAUUUAGGAGCAAUAAUCCAUCUAUUCAUUCUACGUUGACGAGACACAUAUUCAACAGCCUACGCCUAUAAACGUCACCGCCUGACACAUUCAAAAAAACACACCAGGAAUCACCUCAAAAACGUUGUACGAUUUACCAAUCAACUCGACAACAAGGCCAAAAAACAUGAUCCAAGAAGUGAAAGUUAACCCGAUUCUGAAAUCUUGAAUAACCAUUCUAGCAUAAUUAUCCCAACGAUGCAUAAUUCUUAGUCAGUAACAAAGUCCUUCGUAUAAUAGAAAUUCGCUGAAACCCUAAUUUAUAUCCAAACCAAGAUUACUGACUGAUUCAAAUAUAUCGACAAAAAAGGAAGGGAGAGGGCGCGGACCGCAAUCGAUUCAGCGGAGGCUGGGGCACCACCGCCCUCCACCAUCUCCUGCAGCUCCGACGGCUCAUCGCCGUGGUAGAUGGAGGAGACGGCGCGGAAGACAUCGGGAGGGAGGGGGAGAUUGCGCGAGAGGAGGUUGAGGGCGCCGACCAGGGUCUUGGCCUGCUCCGCGCGGCGAUCAGGGGCGUGUCGCGGUUCCUCUGCCACCGACGCCACCAUGGACCCUCGACUAGCGCACGAACCGAAGCCCAACAGGCUCCUCUCUUCCUCGUCUUCUUAGUGUCGUUCCUGUCGCCCGUCUCUCUUCACUUCUCGUGUGUCGUGAUUCUUCGAGCAGUCGAUGGAAUUCGGCCUCGCCCGCGCUCUUCUUCUUUUCUCGUCUGUAGAAGCUCCCAAACGGAUCCGCGUGUCACUUGUGAUUCCGAAUGUGCCACUUGAAACCCAUGUGAUAUGUAGCUUCUGAACGGGUAGGAUAUGGCCUGCAUCCGAUAAUGAUCCGAACCGGGAAUAAGAGGAAAGAAACGAUGUAACGUUAUAUAUAUAUAUCGGGUAGGAUAUGGCCUACAUCCGAUAAUGAUCCGAUCCGGGAAUAAGAGGAAAGAAACGGUGCUAUGGUGACAACGUAGGAGAUAUUUUNNNNNNNNNNNNNNNNNNNNAUAUAUAUAUAUAUAUAUAUAUAUAUAUAUAAUUUAUAUGUUUAUUUAUAUAUUUAUUUAUUUGUUAUAUUGUAUACCUCAUCAUAUUUAUGAGCGAUUUUUCUAUAAAAUACUUACAUUUUAGAUAUUUUGGGUUUAAUUAUAAAAAAUAAAUUUGAAAAAUGUUUAGAUAAUAUUUCAACUUUAAAUAAAUCACACAUAGUAUAUCAAUAUACCUCUAUCGAGCCUUCCAUCUCAUCGAUCGCCACCUUGUGACACACCCAUCACUUCUCCUCCAUCAAACUCGUCUAAUAAUGAAGGUACGAUGAAUCUUAUAAAUUUUGUUGGGUAAAUGAUAGACUUUACGAGUGAGCGAGGGUGAUCAUGAGUGUGCACCCUCAUUAUCAUGUAUAAAACCUCUAAGAAAAACUCAAAAAGUGAUUUUUUUUUAUUAAUAAGCUCUUUUAUUAUUAUUAUUAUUAUUAUUAUAACUUGAUUUUGAUGCCAGGAGUAUGGUCAAAAGUUUUAGUGUCUCUCACUGGAAUAAUAUAUGCAAUAAUAUAAUUUUAUGUUAUAUUAUAAUAUUUUCAAUAAUAUCAGGAAUUACACUGUUAUAUAAUAUUUUUGUAUUGUAUUAUAGUGUGUUCAUUGUAUCAUUGAAAACAUUAUAAAAUAGUAUAGAAACAUUAUAAUACAAUACAUUGUAAUAUAAUAUUUUUUUAUAUUAUAUUAUAAUAUUUUCCUAGUGUUAUUGAAGACACUGUAACAUAAUAUGAAAAACAUUAUAAUUGGAUCGAUACAUCGUAUCGAUCAAUCAGAUAUUAGGUUGAAAAAAAAGAAAGUUUUGGAAAAGAGAUGUCUUUUUUGGGAAAAAUCUAAUUUUUUUCAUAAUUACAUAUCAUUUCCAAUAUCUAAAAUUUUUAUUUUCUUAAUAUAUAAUUUAUAAACUCUAAUUAAUCUAACUCUAUUUAGAAAUAUAAAAGAGUUAAUUACUUUAUCUUAUUCUCACUGAAAUAUUUUCCUUAUUUUACUGCCUUUCUCAUUUGCCUUUUAUAGGUCCGAGAAUUCCCAUCGAAAUCUAACGACAUGCUAAUACUCUGCUUCGAGAUCCGUGAGAUCUCCAAUCCAACGGCGAAAAGUGUCUCAGGCGACUGCUUUGAUGCAUCAAGUCUCCACCGUUUGAUAAAUCAUGGGAUGAACACAGGGGCUCCACGCUGGCAAUCCGCGGGAACCUCAAUCGACCAAUCACAAGAAAAGACCUUGCGAAGGACCCUUUCCCCCGCACCUAUAUAUACAGGCGGCGACGAAGGCGAUCCGCAAAACUGAAGCCUUCGCCCUCCUCGUCGUUCCUCUUCGUUAGGGUUUCUUCGCGAGCAAGAUAUAACAGAGAUGAGUUCCACAACGUCGGCAAAGGGCGGCCGAGGCAAGGCCAAGUCGUCGAAAUCUGUCUCCCGUUCGCAUAAGGCCGGCCUCCAGUUCCCCGUCGGCCGCAUCGCUCGGUUCCUCAAGGCCGGGAAAUAUGCCGAGCGUGUCGGCGCAGGUGCCCCGGUCUACCUCGCCGCCGUCCUCGAAUACCUUGCUGCCGAGGUCGGUUAACCGGUCCUGGAAUUGGCCGUGGUUUUGACUGGCGGUUUGAUUUGAUUAGGGUUUGAUUCUUUUCAGGUCCUGGAAUUGGCCGGAAACGCUGCGAGGGAUAAUAAGAAGAAUAGAAUCGUUCCAAGGCAUAUACAGCUCGCUGUCAGGAAUGACGAGGAGUUGAGUAAGCUUUUGGGAGCUGUUACGAUCGCCAGUGGUGGUGUUUUGCCCAAUAUCCAUCAGACCUUAUUGCCUAGUAAGGCGGGAAAGGGGAAAGGGGAUAUUGGAUCUGCGUCACAGGAGUUCUAGAUUAUAAAGAUAUAAUCUUUUGGUAUGAUGGAAUAUGAUGAAUGGAGUGAGCCUGAUAAUGUAAUAAAACGUUUUGGCAAGUUGUUGAAUAUCCUUAUCAUAGAAUAGGAUGAGAGGAUAAUUGAAAAUUGAUUAUUUUUAUGAGGUUAUAAUCCUUUUCUGGUUCUCAAUCUAAUUUUCCAUUUGCACCUGAAAUCAAUUACUUUUUGGCUACAUUCAGUUGAAUUGUAUUGUUUGAUUGAAUCAGUGGCUUGUUUAACUGCAUUCUUCUCAUUUU